AUUGAGGUGCUUGCAUUCAUUACUCAUUGCUACCAAGAUUAGAUAGCAAACUGGAUGGUCUUGCUACAGCCACAUACUUAAAUAAAUACUAAAUUCUAUUUGCUUUCUUGAGAAAAUAACAAAAACUUAACCAGGAGGCAUCAGUCCUCUUUUCUUACAGAUAAUUAUUAUAGCAAGUUUUACUUUUCGUUUAUGCUGAUGGAAAUCUUUGUUAGGUAUGAAGUCAUAUAUAGUUUCAUUGAAGGAGAUGCUGAUAUUGAGAAUUUUCCUGUAGAACUAUUUGUGGCCUGAGUCUGAAUCUUGCAGUUUUAGUCUAUAACCGAUUUCCCAUCUGGCUCACAGAGAAUUAUGUUUUUACAGGACUUCAAAGCCUCCUAAUUAAACUCCAGAAGAAUUUCUGAAUGGUUUCUGAAAUGUCUGAGCUGAGAGACAGCUAGACCGCUUCAACCAGGCAGACCCUGUGAUUUGAUGAUAUAACUCAUGGAGCUGGUGGCUUACCACAUGUAGCAGUCUGAAGGGGAUCUGUGGAGUUUGUCUUGAGAAAAUACCACUGUUUGGGAACUAUUCCAGCUCCCAGAUGCUGAGCAUUUUGCUGUUGACCUCAGGUGCUGAAUUAACAUGAUGCAACCCAGAGAUGCAAGGGAUUUCUUUCAUUAACAGUGCUGUGAUGCUAGUGAGAACAGAAGAUGUGUUUCCUAGACAACCACCAUCACUCUUUAGGUUUCAUGUGGGUUGGUGAGUUGAAUUGCCUCAUGGAGAGUCGCGGGAGCUGAAGGCUGACACAAGUUGAGCAACAAAGUGGGAGAAGAAGGGGGGAGAGUUGGGCUUGCUCAAAAUCCAGCAACACCUCUUUCACUAAUUGGAUACUAGGAGCUUUAAAUACUGUCACUUAUCUAACCUUUUACAAUUAAUAUUAAUGGAAAUUAAUUACCAGGAAAAAGGAGGUGUUCUACUGUCAUCAUUAGGAAGAUGUGGAACAGUUUAUCAUGAAAACUAUUUACUGGCAUGUGAAGAACAGAAGUUUGAUUGUAAACAUCCAGUGUGGAUCUACCAAGAGCAAAUUGUGCUGGACCAACCUGGAUUGACUGUUACGGUGAAGUGACACUGCUGUGCACGAAGAGCCUGUGACUUUGUCCUCAAGACUCAAGCCUGAAGAAAACAUCCAGCUUGAAUCUUAUUUCUAUCUUUCUAUCAAAAACCUGGUGCUUGGUCACCAGGCCUCACCUCCUUCCAAAGAUGCUGUGUGGGGAAGUAGCGCCUGGCUGAGCAGGGCUCCCUCUGACCUUCCUUCUACUCCUGCCUAGAAGUGGCCAGCAUCCCACAUCUGCCCCACACCUGGAUGAUGUAAAAGAGGAGAACCUUAAUUAGCGAACAUGGAAGCUGUUUGUUUUCCUUCCCCUCGUGACCAAUUCCUUCAGCAGGUGAGGAGCUUGUAUAGGCCUUCUGCUCUCCCCUCAGAUCUCUUCGAGAGCUGACGUAGUUCUGUGCUUCUUGACAUCAGCUGAUCCUCUUCAAACUGUUUCCCCAAGAUGUGGUUUGUCAACAGACAGAGAAAUCAAAGAAGCAAGAGUUUGCUUUGUUUCUCAUCCAGGGAGGCCAUCAGUGGAGACCUCCUCUCAGCUGUCCUACAACCAUUCAAGCACGAGACUGGGACAUGCCAAAGUUCAACUGAGCUCCAGGAGUUACCGAGGAAAAAAAGAAGCAUAUGGCCACCAGUGAAAUCUAAAGGGCCAAAGAGAAUAACUAGGGUUUAUGCAUAAAAGCUGGAUAGAACCGAGCUCUCUCACAUGGGUCAGGUUGAUGGUUGGGCUCAAUGUUCUUGAAGUUCUUUUCCAG
ensembl:lncRNA